rnacentral:rRNA from 1 species
AUUGAACGCUGGCGGCAGGCCUAACACAUGCAAGUCGAGCGGAUGACGGGAGCUUGCUCCUUGAUUCAGCGGCGGACGGGUGGGUAAUGCCUAGGAAUCUGCCUGGUAGUGGGGGACAACGUUUCGAAAGGAACGCUAAUACCGCAUGCGUCCUACGGGAGAAAGCAGGGGACCUUCGGGCCUUGCGCUAUCAGAUGAGCCUAGGUCGGAUUAGCUUGUUGGUGAGGUAAUGGCUCACCAAGGCGACGAUCCGUAACUGGUCUGAGAGGAUGAUCAGUCACACUGGAACUGAGACACGGUCCAGACUCCUACGGGAGGCAGCAGUGGGGAAUAUUGGACAAUGGGCGAAAGCCUGAUCCAGCCAUGCCGCGUGUGUGAAGAAGGUCUUCGGAUUGUAAAGCACUUUAAGUUGGGAGGAAGGGUUGUAGAUUAAUACUCUGCAAUUUUGACGUUACCGACAGAAUAAGCACCGGCUAACUCUGUGCCAGCAGCCGCCGUAAGAC